CUCCGCCUCCGCCGCUGCGUCGGGCCGCGUCGGAUUUCGGGAAGGGCGUCGGGGGCUUCUGACCCUGUGGCCUCGCUGGGUGCGGGGCGUGUGUGGCGGCGCGGGGCGGGCAAAGCCCGCUGGUGCCCGCCCCUGGCCCGCGUGGGGCCCCGGCGCGAUCCCUGGGCGCCUUCCGCCGGUGACCCGCGUGGUCAGCCCGGGCCUUGGGACUCGGCCCUGAGGGGAUUUCGAAAAGGCGGGGUGGUUCCCAGGGCUUGAAGACAGUCAUGCCCGCGAACGCCGCCUCACAGAGUAGGCCCGGGCGCGUUUUCUGUGCCUGUGACUCCGGAAGUGCCAUGUGGAAUAAGCCCUCAGUAACCCUGAACCAGGGUGCUGCUUGCAGCCCGAAUCGGUCUGGGGGCUCCUUUUUCUUUUUCACCGUGUAGUUUCCAUUUUGCUGGCUCGUGCGUUUUUUGGUCUGUGUCUUUAGACGGCUGAGGGUACUUACAAACCUAAAAAGGGAGUUGUGUCUAAACAGAUGGAUUGAAGACACAGUAUAAAUUGAAGUUUUGUAGCAUUAUGUGCCUUGUGCUUAUCUUAUUUAACGUUUCUCAUCAAGCACCUAAAGCGAUGCCUGGGAUGUCGUUUCUUUGGCCCGUCAGCGGUUUUAACGGUGACUCUUUCCUGGGUGUGUUGUGGUCUGUUACAGGGAUGUGUUUCUGAUCCUCUGAAUAUCAGCCAUGCUGUCAGACUGCUUGCAAAACUUCCUAAAGCUUACAAGCCCUCGCCUUCUGUAUUCAAGAUCAUGCCAGCGGGUCAGAAGCAAAAGGAGGUUUUUUGGAACUGCGCCGACACCCAGGUUGCCAAGGCGGGUUGUCGUGACAGGCAUUGGCUUGGUGACCCCUCUGGGUGUUGGAACUCAGCUGGUGUGGGACCGGCUUCUCCGAGGAGAGAGUGGAAUUGUUUCGCUGGCUGGUGAGGAGUAUAAGAGUAUCCCUUGCAGCGUUGCUGCUUUUGUGCCAAGAGGUUGUGAUGAAGGCGAGUUCAAUGAGGAGACCUUUGUGUCCAAAUCAGACAUGAAGGCCAUGUCUUCUCCCACUGUCAUGGCCAUUGGAGCUGCAGAGUUAGCCUUGAGAGAUUCCGACUGGCAUCCUCAGUCGGAAGCUGACCGAGUGGCUACGGGUGUUGCCAUUGGAAUGGGAAUGGUUCCUCUUGAAGUUGUUUCUGAAACAGCUUUGAUGUUCCAGACAAAGGGUUACAAUAAAGUCAGCCCGUUUUUUGUCCCUAAGAUUUUGAUCAACAUGGCAGCAGGCCAGGUCAGCAUUCGCUAUAAACUCAAAGGCCCAAAUCAUGCAGUAUCUACAGCCUGUACCACGGGAGCUCAUGCCAUAGGUGACUCUUUUAGAUUGAUAGCCCACGGUGAUGCCGAUGUGAUGGUGGCUGGAGGUACAGAUUCCUGCAUUAGCCCUUUAUCUCUCGCUGGGUUUGCCAGAGCUCGGGCUCUGAGCACAAACACAGAUCCUAAGUUGGCGUGUCGACCGUUUCAUCCAAAGAGAGAUGGUUUUGUAAUGGGAGAAGGUGCCGCUGUGCUGGUGAUGGAAGAACAUGGUCAUGCAGUUCAAAGAGGGGCCCGGAUCUAUGCGGAAGUUCUGGGCUAUGGACUCUCAGGUGACGCCGGUCACAUAACUGCACCUGAUCCUGAGGGAGAAGGUGCCUUAAGAUGUAUGACUGCUGCUGUAAAAGAUGCAGGUGUGCAACCUGAAGAGAUAUCCUAUGUCAACGCACAUGCUACUUCCACCCCUUUGGGAGAUGCUGCUGAAAACAAAGCUAUCAAGCAUCUUUUCAAAGGCCAUGCGUACAACCUUGCAGUUUCCUCAACCAAGGGAGCCACAGGACAUCUGCUGGGAGCUGCAGGGGCGGUUGAAGCAGCUUUCACCACACUAGCUUGCUAUUAUCGAAAACUACCACCUACUUUAAACCUGGAUUGUACAGAACCAGAAUUUGAUCUUAAUUAUGUCCCACUAAAGGCACAGGAAUGGAAAACUGAGAACAGACUUAUUGGACUCACCAAUUCCUUUGGUUUUGGUGGUACUAAUGCAACGCUUUGUAUUGCUGGCAUGUAGGACAAAUCAUUUGUAAUUAAACAUUGAUUUUUUUUAAAAGACGCUGUAAGAGAAGAAAUAAUAUGUAUAUAUGUAUGUGUUUGUGUAUCAGUAACCAGAUACCCCCUUUUGGUAGAGUUUUUCUGUCUUGACACUAUUGAUAAUCUGGGUAGGAUAGUUGUUGGGGAAAACAGGGAUGCACCUAGCAUUGUGAGAUGUUCAGUAACACCCUGUUCUUCACUGUGCUGAACACCAUUUCCUUUAGACAUUGCCAAGUGUUUCUCGGGGGAAAAUAUAAGACAGGUCAAUACCACUGACCUGUCUUUCCCCAAUACUCCUAGGUCUGACAGCUUUCUGUGACAUUUUGCUUGCUUUGGUCCAUUUCACAGAUAUUUAGUGAAUACUACUCUAUGCUGGGCAGGGUUGUUGUAUUGUACAACUCCAGGGGAACCAUUCAUAUAUAAUGUAAGGAGUAUAAUGUAACUAGAUGUUGGAAUCAGUGUCCUUAGAGUAGCUGCCAGUCAGCAAUGGUUAUUUACCUCUUACCUCUCCAAUCUUCUUCAUAUUAUUCACACUGUAAUUCAGUGAAAUUAAUGGAAUUUGCCUGAACUACCGAGCCAUCGAUUCCUGAAAGAAGGAAGUGAAAUUGGUUUGAAUUUUCUUAUUCUUUUUGUAUUUAUGCUGGUACCUCAGUGAUAGAGAUCAGGAUCUUUGGGAAAUGGAGCAGUAAUUGAUGAUUUGACCGCAUUGUCAUGGCCCACCUCUAACUUCACUGAAGCUUUGGUUAUUCUCUGUGUUCUCUGACACUCCCACAAGUAUUGGAGGUCCCUCUACUAUUCUGCCUUGGGACAUUCUCUAAAGCUGAGGGAUUGCAUUCUGUCCCAGCAGGCUGGUAGUGUGAGGAGAGAGAGAGGAGCAAGUUCCCCAGCGGCAACUCUGGAGCACUGAGGACGUAGUUGGGGCUUGUUACUGGAACAUUACAUUCACCUUCCCAACUGCCUGCCUUGUGGACUUCAACUCAGGAUUGGAAGAUAAUAGUGAGACUUGAAAGCAUUACACAGACCACUUAGCCGGUUCCUGCCAUGGGGUAAGGUCAAGUCUAUGGAAAGCAUCCAUGUUUAUACUUUGUGGUUCCAUUUUUCUGAAUAAAUCCUGACUGGUACAUAUGAAG